CCUACGGGGGGCAGCAGUGGGGAAUAAUGGACAAUGGGGGCAACCCUGAUCCAGCCAUGCCGCGUGUGUGAAGAAGGCCCUCGGGUUGUAAAGCACUUUCAGUGAGGAAGAACGCCUGGUGGUUAAUACCCAUCAGGAAAGACAUCACUCACAGAAGAAGCACCGGCUAACUCCGUGCCAGCAGCCGCGGUAAUACGGAGGGUGCGAGCGUUAAUCGGAAUUACUGGGCGUAAAGCGCGCGUAGGUGGCUUGAUAAGCCGGUUGUGAAAGCCCCGGGCUCAACCUGGGAACGGCAUCCGGAACUGUCAAGCUAGAGUGCAGGAGAGGAAGGUAGAAUUCCCGGUGUAGCGGUGAAAUGCGUAGAGAUCGGGAGGAAUACCAGUGGCGAAGGCGGCCUUCUGGACUGACACUGACACUGAGGUGCGAAAGCGUGGGUAGCAAACAGGAUUAGAUACCCUUGUAGUC
rnacentral:rRNA from 1 species